AUACUAACUCGCAGAGGUGAUACUAUGGUCACGAAGGUGGUUUCCCCUGGGCAAGGCUGAUCCAUUGCACUCUGGGUGUGCUGAUCCCUGCGAUUUCCCCAAAUGUGGGAAGCUCAACUGCAUAAUUAGUGGUAGUGAUGGACUGCAUUUGUGCUCUCCCAUG